GUUCACUUUGGCAGCACAUACACUAAAAUUAGAAUACAAAAGAGAUUAGCAUGGCUCUUGCACAAGGAUGACACACAAAUUCAUGAAGCAUUCCAUAUUUUA